rnacentral:misc_RNA from 1 species
UUUUAGCCCCGACAGUAGCUAACUACCGUGUAGUGCGAAUGGCGGGAAUUACA